GCAUCAAAAAGACUGUCUCCAGAAUUCUUCUGUCGUCUCUAUUGGUUUCAAGGCUAACCUCUGUGGUAAGGCUCUUUUUCUUGGACUUGGAGUCAUCUAUCUCGUGGCAUCUUCGGCUUUUGAGGUUUUUGAGCACUUGGGUAAUUUCCUGGAAAGUAUUUGCUGUUUCUCGUGGCUUGCAUAACUCUUUUGAUUUUCUCAUCCUUGGCGAGAACUCGUGAGAAACUUCAGAUUGGGAGGAACAUGGCUAAACUUCAGCUUUACAGGAACAUCACCAACGCAUUUGCUACAUAUGUUUUUCUUUCCACUGGAUGGAUUAGUUUCGAGCUAUAUUUCUUUGCAACUAAAAGUAUAAGGAGGACGUGGAUUAUACCUGUGGGCUGGAAUCUACUGUAUUAUGGUCUGCUAGCAAUCCAAUGCGUCAUUUGGGGGGCUCAGAUAGUAGAAGAUAGUGUUACAGGAAAUUAGAGUUAGAGACAUUGUUUCCGUUGGCAUUUGGUUUGAUUGCAAUCUCAUUCCGGUUUGUCUUA